rnacentral:rRNA from 1 species
GGUUCCUAGCGAGCCCAACCUCCCACCCGUGUUUACUGUACCUUAGUUGCUUCGGCGGGCCCGCCAUUCAUGGCCGCCGGGGGCUCUCAGCCCCGGGCCCGCGCCCGCCGGAGACACCACGAACUCUGUCUGAUCUAGUGAAGUCUGAGUUGAUUGUAUCGCAAUCAGUUAAAACUUUCAACAAUGGAUCUCUUGGUUCCGGCAUCGAUGAAGAACGCAGCGAAAUGCGAUAACUAGUGUGAAUUGCAGAAUUCCGUGAAUCAUCGAGUCUUUGAACGCACAUUGCGCCCCCUGGUAUUCCGGGGGGCAUGCCUGUCCGAGCGUCAUUGCUGCCCAUCAAGCACGGCUUGUGUGUUGGGUCGUCGUCCCCUCUCCGGGGGGGACGGGCCCCAAAGGCAGCGGCGGCACCGCGUCCGAUCCUCGAGCGUAUGGGGCUUUGUCACCCGCUCUGUAGGCCCGGCCGGCGCUUGCCGAACGCAAAUCAAUCUUUUCCAGGUUGACCUCGGAUCAGGUAGGGAUACCCGCUGAACUUAAGCAUAUCAA